rnacentral:rRNA from 1 species
GACGAACGCUGGCGGCGUGCUUAACACAUGCAAGUCGAACGGAAAGGCCCUGCUUUUGUGGGGUGCUCGAGUGGCGAACGGGUGAGUAACAUGUGAGUAACCUUCCCUGGACUUUGGGAUAACUUCAGGAAACUGGUGCUAAUACCGGAUAGGUGCUCCUGCUGCAUGGUGGGGGUUGGAAAGUUUAGGCGGUGGGGGAUGGACGCGCGGCUUAUCAGCUUGUUGGUGGGGUAGUGGCUUACCAAGGCUUUGACGGGUGGCCGGCCUGAGAGGGGGAACGGGCACAUUGGGACUGCGAUACGGACCAGACUGCUACGGGAGGCAGCAGUGGGGAAUAUUGUACAAUGGGCGCAAGCGUGAUGAAGCAACGCCGGGUGCGGGAUGACGGCCUUCGGGUUGUAAACCGCUUUAGCCUGUGACGAAGCGUGAGUGACGGUAAUGGGUAAAGAAGCACCGGCUAACUACGUG